rnacentral:rRNA from 1 species
AGUGAACGCUGGCGGUAGGCCUAACACAUGCAAGUCGAACGGCAGCACAGUAAGAGCUUGCUCUUACGGGUGGCGAGUGGCGGACGGGUGAGGAAUACAUCGGAAUCUACUUUUUCGUGGGGGAUAACGUAGGGAAACUUACGCUAAUACCGCAUACGACCUACGGGUGAAAGCAGGGGAUCUUCGGACCUUGCGCGAUUGAAUGAGCCGAUGUGGGAUUAGCUAGUUGGCGGGGUAAAGGCCCACCAAGGCGACGAUCCGUAGCUGGUCUGAGAGGAUGAUCAGCCACACUGGAACUGAGACACGGUCCAGACUCCUACGGGAGGCAGCAGUGGGGAAUAUUGGACAAUGGGCGCAAGCCUGAUCCAGCCAUACCGCGUGGGUGAAGAAGGCCUUCGGGUUGUAAAGCCCUUUUGUUGGGAAAGAAAAGCAGCAGGUUAAUACCCCGCUGUUCUGACGGUACCCAAAGAAUAAGCACCGGCUAACUUCGUG